rnacentral:lncRNA from 1 species
GCAUAGGACAGAGCUUUCCCUCCCCGGUUGCCACAGAGGAACUGUAAACAAUUAAGAUUCUUUUUGGGCUGGUGAGAUGGCUCAGUGGGUAAGAGCACCCGACUGCUCUUCCGAAGGUCGGAAGUUCAAAUCCCAGCAACCACAUGGUGGCUCACAACCACCCGUAAUGAGAUCCGAUGCCCUCUUCUGGUGCGUCUGAAGACAGCUACAGUGUACUUUACAUAUAAUAAAUAAAUAAAUAAAUCUUUAAAAAAAAAAAAAAAAAGAUUCUUCUUGAUAAUUCAUCCUAAUGAAAAUACUGAACUGAAGAGUUCUACACGUUUAUAAUCCCCAAGCUUGAGCUGUCUGUCUCAGUGUAAGAUCACACAUUGUCUCUGCCACCUUUUUAAUUCCUUGAUUGUGUUUAAAGCACCAUUUUUUUCUCAGUACUUAAGUAUUUCUACUCUGUGUGUCACUAAAACAAAAUGUGCCCAGGAGUAUGUAGUUUCUUGAAUUUUGUGCAUAUAUACAUAUAAAAACAUGUAUGUAUAUAUGUAUGUAUAUAUAUGUGUGUGUAUAUGUAUAUGUAUGUAUGUGUGUGUGUGUGUGUGUGUGUGUGUGUGUGUGUGUGUGUGUAUAUAUAUGCAUGCUUGUGUGGAUAUGUAUACAUGAGGGCAUAUGCCUGUGCAGUUCAGCAGAAGGUGUCUGGUUAUAGGCACUUGAGAGCCACCUGAUAUGAGUAUUGGGAACAAACCUGGGCCCUCUGUAAGAACAGUAUGCGUCUUCACUGCUGAGCUAUCUCUCUCAAGUUACUGUGAUGAAAUAGACCUGAAGCCUUUGAAAUAUGUCUCCUGCUUUUGAGACAACAUAGGAUUGACAGGUUGGUUGGCAGACCGCAUCAUUUUAUCCAUUGGCCCAGUCAUCACUGGAGGGGAAUUUUGUCUCAACUGGCAUUAAGGAUGCCCUCACGUUUCCCUUAGUCCUCUGCUUGGAAGAGGUGGAAAAAUUCAUAGUAAAGUUGGUUCCCUGUCCUGCCAAUUAGUGCCACUUACGUGACUGUAUUAGACAGCAAAAAGAAUCUUUGAACCAGGGCUGGAAAGAUGGCUCAGAAGUUACACAAGCACACACUGCUCUGUUGUUGUUGUUGUUGUUGUUGUUGUUGUUGUUGUUUUGAGAAAGGAUCUCAUAUGCCCUGGAAUUCCCCUGUAGACCAGGCUAGCCUAAAACUGAGAGAUUCAGCCUUCCGAGUUCUGGGAGUGAAGGUGUUUGUCACUGUGCCCCGCUGUCACUGCUCUCCCAGAGGACCCACAAUCUGGUUCCUUUCUCCAAGGUCGAGGCACACAGACCUGUAACUCUACCCCCAUGGGGUCUGAAGCCUCAGGCACCACAUUCAGGUUCACAGACAGACAUGCACAUAAUUAGCUAUACAUUUUUUUAAAUAUUGUAUUACCAAAUUGGAAAAAUAGAAUUUCAGGAAUUUUUCACCUUGUACCAGAAGCAAAGACAAAAAUGAGAAUAAGACCCCAUGACAGCAAAACCCAAAUUUCUAGCAAUGAGCUCUUUAUCAUUACAAUGAAAACUCCUCUUCCCGGAGGCAAAGAGAGACAGAGACAGAGAGAGCAGGAAUGGAUUUUCUCAUGGGUCCUUUGUAGAAGAUAGAGAGACAGCUCUGCGGUUAAGAUCACUUGUUGCUCUUGCAAAGGAACCAGGUUGGGUUCCCAGAACCCAAAUGGUGGUUGUCAACCAUCCCUGACUCCAGUUCCAAGGGACCCAAUGCCUUCCUUUGACCUCCACAGGUACCAGGCACAUACAGGGUCCAUAUACACACAUGCAGCAAAACACUCAUACAAAUAAAAUAAACAAAUACUUAACAUUUUAAAUAAAGUGUCUCUGUACUGAUGUACAGUAGGUAGUUAGUUGAUAACCCGUUGAAUGGAAUCAACAUUUCUCUUGCCCUGCUGCUCGGUCAUGUGUGGUUGACACGGUCUAGUGUAUAGUAGCUUUGAGGAGUAGAAAAUAACUGAGUAUUUGGGAAGUGCAGACUAGUCACUCUAAGGACUGUUUUUCCUGCCCCAGGCAUUCAGAGUCAGGCACCAAAAGCAGGUCAGAGGGUAAGCUUCGGUGGGGAGUGGGAACUGAGGGCGUUUGUUAGUGCUGCGUCUCCCCGUUGUUUUAAAGACAGGCACGACCCCAAAUUUUGAUGUCCUGACAUCCCUGUUGUGGCUUUCAGAUGGAGCGUGGUAGGCUGGAAAGGUUGUUCAUCUCGGUGGGUAAUCUGUCUCCGUUUGUGCAAUUUAGCUGUUAAUCCAUACACAGAUUCAUCGUGUGUCUCCUAAUGGUGUAGAUCAGCCCGGCCUUCUCCUGGUCCACCUGUAAGGCUCAGAGGAGAAUAUCCCCCAAUCUUGUGCCCCCACCGAGGUGCAGAAGUGCAUAAGGGUUUGCACUAGAAGAUGGAGUUGGCUACCUGGGUGGUUUGAGAACUGAUUUUUACUGCUGUUUCCUAGGGACACAGCAGGGCAGGAGCGAUUUAACAGCAUUACCUCAGCCUAUUACAGAAGUGCCAAGGGGAUCAUACUCGUAUAUGACAUCACCAAGAAGGAGACGUUCGAUGACUUGCCAAAGUGGAUGAAGAUGAUUGACAAGGUAAGCAUCGCCUUCCCUGUUGUGGCCUUCAGCCUGUGCGCAUCUCACUGUUAAAGGGAAUAGAGCACUCAGCAUCCAUAGUGGACCGAACGCCAUCUAAGCCGUACUGUAGCCUCGCUACGGAUGGGGCACUGGGGAAAUACAUUAUCCAGCAUGCAACGAGAGCAGGCUUUCAUUCCGGUCCCAAGGACUGCCUGACUUCAAAACCCAUCCUCACUCCUUUUGCUCUGUCUGCCGCUUCCUCAGAGUUACACUAAAACAGGAAAGGUUGCGUGGACACCCGUGGGUGGUCCAGGGUUCUAGUCGUCCUCAGCAUGGUGGAACGUCUUUCAGGUCCUCCUUUUGAGCAAGACAUUUCCUUCAGCUGAAUGUUGAGUUCUUACUCAAUUUUGAGUGAAGAAAAUCUAGUAUCUUCAUGGUAAUGUGAAUUGUGUUUUGCUCUAGGAAAUGCGUGCAGCAAAUGCACCUUUAGAAGUCAGCAGCUGGAACUGAGAUGUGACUCUGUGUAUACAGUUGACCACAGUUUCAGAGGUUUUUGUCUCCAAUUCCUUUACGUUACAAGCACAUAACAAAACAGGGGGUGUAAUUGACUUGAGACCUGACUGUGUCUGUAUGUCUUAUAGCUUCUGGAAAAAGGUUCUCGUCUGGUUUUACAAGUUUUCAGUGUGCGUAUGUCUUCACUGUAUGUUAGGGUGUGAGAAAUAGGAGCGCCAGGCAUGGCGGCAAGCGCCUUUAAUUUCAGCACUCUGGAAGCAGAGGUGGGCAGAUCUCCAAGAAUUUGGGACAAGCCUGGUCUACCUGACAAGUUCCAGGCCAGCCAGGGCGACACAGAGAAUCUCAGUAACUGAAAACACUGGAGCAGAGACAGGCCUCUCCUUCCACCUGCUCUGCCGGCAGGGUGGGUGUGAACAGGAAGACCUCAGUCCCAGCGCACCUCCCGUGGAUAGGUUUAGGGAUAUUUAUGGGAUAAAGAUGCAGAUGGUCGAGGGUGUGGGGAAAUGAUUGGAGGGACUCAGUGGUCUGCUCUGCGACGCUUCAGCUGCAGUGGCAAUGGUUAACUCUUGAGGCACUCAUCCGAUGGGGACGAUGACGUCAAAAGCCCAUCCAUCAGAUUUGUACAUAGGCCCAAGUCAAGAGUCAGGGUUUUUAAAAAAGAAGAAAAAAAAACCCUUCACAUCUCUGGG